rnacentral:rRNA from 1 species
AUAUCAAUAAGCGGAGGAAAAGAAACCAACCGGGAUUGCCUUAGUAACGGCGAGUGAAGCGGCAAAAGCUCAAAUUUGAAAUCUGGUACCUUUGGUGCCCGAGUUGUAAUUUGGAGAGGGCAACUUUGGGACCGUUCCUUGUCUAUGUUCCUUGGAACAGGACGUCAUAGAGGGUGAGAAUCCCGUGUGGCGAGGAGUGCGGUUCUAUGUAAAGUGCCUUCGAAGAGUCGAGUUGUUUGGGAAUGCAGCUCUAAGUGGGUGGUAAAUUCCAUCUAAAGCUAAAUAUUGGCGAGAGACCGAUAGCGAACAAGUACAGUGAUGGAAAGAUGAAAAGAACUUUGAAAAGAGAGUGAAAAAGUACGUGAAAUUGUUGAAAGGGAAGGGCAUUUGAUCAGACAUGGUGUUUUGCGCCCUCUGCUCCUUGUGGGUGGGGGAAUCUCGCAGUUCACUGGGCCAGCAUCAGUUUUGGUGGCAGGAUAAAUCCGUAGGAAUGUAACUUGCUUCGGGAAGUAUUAUAGCCUAUGGGAAUACUGCCAGCUGGGACUGAGGACUGCGACGUAAGUCAAGGAUGCUGGCAUAAUGGUUAUAUGCCGCCCGUCUUGAA